ACCGGCAGCUAGCUCUCUGCAACUCUCACAUGGUCGCCCACUGAAGCUAAGCAGGGCUGCACCCGGUCAGUACCGGGAUGGGAGACCACAUGGGAAAGCUAGGAUGCUGCCGGAA
rfam:Danio rerio chromosome 1, GRCz11 reference primary assembly.